CCUCAACCUCACUUCAAUUCCUACUUUAUCAUCAACGAUCUGCUCCAUCGAUUUAAUUGCUCAUGGAACGGAUUGUCGGCGGCAAGUACAAGCUCGGCCGGAAAAUCGGUAGUGGAUCCUUCGGCGAAAUCUAUCUCGCCACUCAUAUCGAUACUUUUGAGAUCGUUGCUGUUAAGAUCGAGAACAGUAAAACAAAACACCCGCAAUUGCUUUACGAAGCAAAGUUAUAUAAUAUUCUUCAAGGAGGCAGUGGUAUUCCUAGCAUAAAAUGGUCUGGUGUUGAUGGGGACGACAAUGUACUGGUCCUUGAUUUGCUGGGGCCAAGCCUCGAGGACCUGUUUGUGUACUGUGGAAGGAAGUUCUCGCUCAAGACAGUUUUGAUGUUAGCUGAUCAAAUGAUUACAAGGAUAGAAUACGUGCACUCUAAAGGAUUUCUUCAUAGAGACAUCAAACCUGAUAACUUCCUC
rnacentral:misc_RNA from 1 species